UGGGGGAUAUUGCACAAUGGGCGAAAGCCUGAUGCAGCGACGCCGCGUGGGGGAUGAAGGCCUUCGGGUUGUAAACUUCUUUUGCUCUGAACAAGGCAUGCCUUUGGGGUGUGUUGAGUGUAGGGGUUGAUUAGCGCCGGCUAACUACGUGCCAGCAGCCGCGGUAAUACGUAGGGCGCGAGCGUUGUCGGGAGUUAUUGGGCGUAAAGGGCUUGUAGGUGGCUGUUUGCGUCUGUCGUGAAAGCUCAUGGCUUAACUGUGGGUUUGCGGUGGGUACGGGCUGGCUUGAGUGCAGUAGGGGAGGCUGGAAUUCCUGGUGUAGCGGUGGAAUGCGCAGAUAUCAGGAGGAAUACCGGUGGCGAAGGCGGGUCUCUGGGCUGUUACUGACGCUGAGGAGCGAAAGCGUGGGGAGCGAACAGG
rnacentral:rRNA from 1 species